GUAGGGCGCAAGCGUUAUCCGGAAUUAUUGGGCGUAAAGAGCUCGUAGGCGGUUUGUCGCGUCUGCCGUGAAAGUCCGGGGGGGCUCAACUCCGGAUCUGCGGUGGGUACGGGCAGACUAGAGUGAUGUAGGGGAGACUGGAAUUCCUGGUGUAGCGGUGAAAUGCGCAGAUAUCAGGAGGAACACCGAUGGCGAAGGCAGGUCUCUGGGCAUUAACUGACGCUGAGGAGCGAAAGCAUGGGGAGCGAACAGGAUUAGAUACCCUGGUAGUCCAUGCCGUAAACGUUGGGCACUAGGUGUGGGGGACAUUCCACGUUUUCCGCGCCGUAGCUAACGCAUUAAGUGCCCCGCCUGGGGAGUACGGCCGCAAGGCUA
rnacentral:rRNA from 1 species